CGUGUAGGCGGUUGGUCAAGUCCGGUGUGAAAGCCCGGGGCUCAGCCUCGGAAGUGCAUCGGAAACUAGCCAGCUGGAGCGCGAUAGAGGAGGGUGGAAUUCCUGGUGUAGCGGUGAAAUGCGUAGAUAUCAGGAGGAACACCGGCGGCGAAGGCGGCCCUCUGGAUCGUUGCUGACGCUGAGACGCGAAAGCGUGGGGAGCAAACAGGAUUAGAUACCCUGGUAGUCCACGCUGUAAACUAUGGGUACUAGGUGUUCGGGGUGUUGACCCCCUGAGUGCCGCAGCUAACGCAUUAAGUACCCCGCCUGGGGACUACGGUCGCAAGAUUAAA
rnacentral:rRNA from 1 species